CAAUAGCGUAUAUUAAAGUUGUUGCGGUUAAAAAGCUCGUAGUUGGAUUUCUGCUGAGAACGACCGGUCCGCCCUUUGGGUGUGUAUCUGGCUCUUUCUUGGCAUCUUCUUGGUGAACGUUGCUGCACUUGACUGUGUGGAGCGCUACCCAGGACUUUUACUUUGGGGAAAUUAGAGUGUUUCAAGCAGGCAUACGCCUUGAAUACAUUAGCAUGGAAUAAUAAGAUAGGACCUCGGUUCUAUUUUGUUGGUUUCUAGAGCUGAGGUAAUGAUUAAUAGGGAUAGUUGGGGGCAUUCGUAUUUAACUGUCAGAGGUGAAAUUCUUGGAUUUGUUAAAGACGGACUACUGCGAAANCANNNGCCAAGGAUGUUUUCAUNGA
rnacentral:rRNA from 1 species